AUGCGUUGUUGGGUAGGGGAGCGUUCUGUAAGCCUGCGAAGGUGUGCUGUGAGGCAUGCUGGAGGUAUCAGAAGUGCGAAUGCUGACAUAAGUAACGAUAAAGCGGGUGAAAAGCCCGCUCGCCGGAAGACCAAGGGUUCCUGUCCAACGUUAAUCGGGGCAGGGUGAGUCGACCCCUAAGGCGAGGCCGAAAGGCGUAGUCGAUGGGAAACAGGUUAAUAUUCCUGUACUUGGUGUUACUGCGAAGGGGGGACGGAGAAGGCUAUGUUGGCCGGGCGACGGUUGUCCCGGUUUAAGCGUGUAGGCUGGUUUUCCAGGCAAAUCCGGAAAAUCAAGGCUGAGGCGUGAUGACGAGGCACUACGGUGCUGAAGCAACAAAUGCCCUGCUUCCAGGAAAAGCCUCUAAGCAUCAGGUAACAUCAAAUCGUACCCCAAACCGACACAGGUGGUCAGGUAGAGAAUACCAAGGCGCUUGAGAGAACUCGGGUGAAGGAACUAGGCAAAAUGGUGCCGUAACUUCGGGAGAAGGCACGCUGAUAUGUAGGUGAAGUCCCUUGCGGAUGGAGCUGAAAUCAGUCGAAGAUACCAGCUGGCUGCAACUGUUUAUUAAAAACACAGCACUGUGCAAACACGAAAGUGGACGUAUACGGUGUGACGCCUGCCCGGUGC
rnacentral:rRNA from 1 species